AGGUAUUACUUUCAAAUUCUAGAGGGGCGCAUUUUAGCAUAUGUCAAUUGCCAGGUACCUUUUGUGCUGAACAACAGUGCAUUUGUGCACUCUUGCUAUGAACACUAUAUUCUCCAUGUAGCUUAUGCACUGGUUUAUUUUCCUUAUGCAGUCUGUUCUAUUGCUAAAAUUUUGCACAGUUUAUUCAUGAUUCGUGUUGUAUCACAUUUGUGUAGGUGAAUUGCUGUUGGAUGCUUAAUGUUUUUACUUCUUGAUUCCUUUCAGCGUCCUUCAAAAGACAUUCAAAGUUGAGAUCAAUACUUACAGCCGGAGUGAGGUUGUUGCCAUGGAGUGGUUGGUUCAGGAGGCCCUGAACUUCAAGUGUUUCGUCACAACAACUCACCAUUUCCUCUGGUACCACAAACUUCCUGCUUUCUUAUCUGUAUCAGCUGAGCAUAACGACAGGCUAACACCAUUGUGUUCAAAUUUCGCAGGUUCUAUCUGAAGGCUGCAAAGGCAGAUGACAGGGUAGUGGACCUGGCAAAAUACCUGUCCUUGCUCUCACUUCUCAAACAUAAGCAGCUCUCCUUCUGGCCCUAAAUUGUGGCAGCCGCUGUGGUAGCCCUUGCUUGCCUUGCCACAGACAAGGAGUCCUAAUGCCAUUUAGUCAUGGAGGUGAACACCUCAGUCCUCCAUUUCUAGCUAUAAAUUGUCAUUACACUUGCUAUUGUUUAGAACUUGAUAAACAUAAGCAAAAUAUGAACUGUAACAUUCAGAAUCUCUUGUCAGUCAGCUUCUAAACAUACACCAACUCCAAUUUUACAUGUUCUGAUUCUAGCUAGACUGGAAAUGCCUAACGAGUAGCUCUUUGCAUGUAUGUAGACUCACAUGAGGACGCAGGAUGACGAUCUGCCUAAAUGUAUAAUGGUACAUUUUUCUCCUCUGAUUUUUUAUAAGUUACUGAGCACAAAACACCAUGAACCAUGCUCUUACAGUUCCAGCAAUAGGCAGAAAUCUACUUUUAUCACAAUACAUUCAUUACCCCGUACAAUCUUCUUUCAUGCAGAGCCUACAGUGGCUGAUCAACUACGCUUCGUGAUACUCGUGACUCCCAGGUGACGAAAUUGAUCCACAGUUUCCCGAUUCCAAGUUACACAGCACAGUUCAAGCGGUCAGACGGGCAUGAGGAUGUGUAGGCCAUACGUGAAUCUUAGCAUUAACAGAUUAUUCUGUACAUGCCAUAAGCCAAGGCAGCAUAAAACGAAGUCUGUGAUUAAACGACUUUCUGGCUAGGAGCAAGGCAAGGAUCGAGAGUUUGGUAUUGAGAUGUCGGCCUUUAGGAACUACUGAAUGACCUAUUGGGCUGUCUAUUAUCCUUGGGUAGGCUUGGUUGUCGCCACGUCGGGGAAAAAAUGGGGAAAGCAGACGGUGGUCGGUGGAUGGAUGACUGUGCUUCACUGCACUUGUGCCAUGCCACGACUUCUACUGUAGUUUACUGCAGUUGAUGCGUGUGCUGUGCACGUAGAUAGAUGUUAAGGCAUUCAGUAUUACUGAUGAUGUCUCUGUUGUUUCAUAUGUAGUAUUUGCUGAUAUCUUCCUAUAAGUUUCAUAUUUGGUGGUAAUUGUUGUUUCCUUCGUAAUGGUGAUGGAGUAAUGGUCUUUUCUGCCACUCAUCUUUGAUGAAUUGUCUACCACAUAUUAUGAAGCGAAGCUAACAUAUUAUGAACAAACGUAUAAUAACGUGAGAGCAAGUAAUGACCCGUAGCAACGCACGGGCAUUUCUGCUAGUCUAUUAUAAAGUGAGUAAGACUUAUUUUUUUGUUUUUUUCGUACAUCGGCCCCCCUAAUAUGUCAUAGGAACCGGGCAAAAACAAACUCAUGUAUAAAUAUAGGUAAAUAAAAUAAAGAUUAGAUUGGUCCAAUUGAGUACAAUCCAGAAAAAGCCCUGUUGUGCUGGUUGCAUCUAAGCAUUGGUUUCGAUUGCUUCGUGUUGGAGAUGCAUUAAAUCCCUAAUAAUUUCACCAAGAACCAACCACAUAUGGAUUUGUUAAUGCUGGUGGCUCCUCAGGGGGAGUGUUAGCUCGCGGCGGUGGGACAUGGUAGCGCAAUAUUGGCAGUGAGGAUCCUAUGGUGUAUGUUUGGCCACCGGCAUACACCGAGCGCAAUAUAGAAGUUAAUUUCAAUAAACCAUGCGGGCAUGUUACAUACCACUUGACUUCAAUUACACGGACACCUGGGUGGUUUCUACUCAUUCAAUUUCAAUAAAAAGGAUUUUGCAAAGAACCAACCAUACACGCAUUUGGUGCAUAAAAAAAUAAGCUACACAACCAUGUCCGUACCCAUUGAAGCUGGAGGCUCCCGAGGGGAUUUGCUAUGCUUCGGCAGUCGGACAUUGCGGUGCAAUAUUGGCAUCGAGAAUUUGUUAGCAUCAGUAUGUCCGCCUACAUAAUUGAAGAAUAACAUAGUAAUUGAACUGAAGUGCCGGUAUGGUAAAAUUAUUAUAUGAUACUUUGGUGAGGUACUUGAGCAUCAUGCUUACCGAUUCCCAAGAAUAGCACGAGUUGUAGGAGGAUUGGAGGAUAGACAUCGCCCAGGUGUUGCGAGUCAUGCCUUCAAACUGACCGAUGGUAAGGGAGAAGAGACCUGGUGCUGGUUGGUGUCACCGAGUGCAUCUAUUUAUAGGCAAUACUCAGAGUCAAAAGUGGACGCUAGGCGCGUCGUGGAUGGUGC
rnacentral:lncRNA from 1 species